rnacentral:rRNA from 1 species
GAUAAACGCUAGCGGCAGGCUUAACACGUGCAAGUCGAGGGGCAGCAUAGAUUGUAGCAAUACAAUUGGUGGCGACCGGCGCACGGGUGCGUAACGCGUUUGCAACCUACCCGUCACAGGGGGAUAAUCCGGAGAAAUCUGGUCUAAUACCCCAUAACAUAUGGAUCGGCAUCGGUUCAUGUUGAAAUUUUCGGAGGUGACGGAUGGGCAUGCGUAGCAUUAGCUUGUUGGUGAGGUAACGGCUCACCAAGGCGACGAUGCUGAGGGGGACUGAGAGGUUUUCACCACACACUGGUACUGAGACACGGACCAGACUCCUACGGGAGGGAGCAGUGAGAAAUAUUGGUCAAUGGGCGAAAGCCUGAACCAGCCAUGCCGCGUGCAGGAUGACGGCUCUAUGAGUUGUAACCUGCUUUUGUACGAGGGUAAAGUGGGUUACGUGUAACCUUUUGAAAGUAUCGUACGAAUAAGGAUCGGCUAACUCCGUGCCAGCCGCCGCCGUAA